GGCUACGGCCAUAUCACGAUGAAUGCACCUCAUCCCGUCCGAUUUGAGAAGUUAAACAUCGUCGAGCCACAUCAGUACUGAGGUUGGAGACAACUUGGGAACCUGUGGUGCUGUAGUCU
rnacentral:rRNA from 1 species